CCGUACUGGAAAAGCAUUCUCAGGUUCUCGCGCUUUUUCUCUUCCGGAGCCUUUCCGAGCUGUUCGCGGCCAGCCGCGCCCUCUCUCGCUCUCGCACUUUCAUUGUCUUUGUCCCGCGUGGCACGCCGUAGCUGUUGGCUCUCGGAAACAUGGCGGCGGCCAUGGGCAGCGGCUGCGAGGCUCCGGUGCGUCUCCGCCUGCUCUUCGAUUACCCGCCGCCGAUGACUCCGGCCUGCGGACUGUGUUGGCUGUUGGUGGAGCCCAAUCAAGUGCGCCUCAUCACUGACCUGAUCAGCCUCAUUCGGGAGAAGUUCGGCUUUAGUCGCCACGCUAGGCUCAACCUCUUCCUGGAUGGGGCGCUCCUGCCGCCCACCGAGAGCGCGCGACUGGUGCGGGACAACGAUUCUCUUCGAGUCAGAUUGGAGGAGAUUGUUGGACUGAACAGUUACGACACCGUCACCAAUGGUUCCAGCAGCUUGUCAAAAAGCCAAAGAAAGCGGCAGAGGAAAUUGGAGGCAAAGGACUCUGAAAGUGAAGAUGAGGACCCCAACAAAAGAAAGAAGAGUAAAUGGAAUUUUGAGCAGAAAGAAGAAAAAUCUACAAAUAUUCAAGAUUCUGUGACAUUGGGGAAAAAGAAAAAAGCGGCACCUGAAAGGAGUCAUAUGAUGGACACUGAGAGUGAGGAUGAUAAUUCUCAUUCCAAGAAACUUAGGAAAAAAAUUGAGCAGGGGAAAGAGCAGGAUGCAAAGAAAAACAAAAAGAAGAAAGCAAGUACAUGUCCAUCAAAGAGCACCUCCCAAAAGACUGAGAAAAGUUUCAGCCAAAAAAGCACAAAGGGAAACACAACAGCACAAUCCAACCCAAAGAAAGGCAGUUCCUCUAGUGAAUCCUCUACAUCAUCAUCUGAUAGCAACCAUAGUACACCAGGCACAAAACAGACCAACACACAUGCAUCUAAAGGGACAUCGCAGCACAUAAACAAACCACAGUUGGCUUCUUUAAAAUCUCUUUCCACUGGGAAAUAUAAAGACAAAAUUUCUCUUAAAACAGGAGAAACUAAAAAAGCCAAGAACCAGUCCUCUAGUUCAGAUUCAGAUUCCAGUUCAGAGGAAGAGCAGCAGAGCAGCAACCUGAAAAAUAAGCUACCAUAUCAGAAGCAAGAAACGGUGACAGGCCAUUCUUCAAAGACUGAACCUAAAAGCUCCUCAUCGGAAUCUGAUGAUAGCUCUGAAUCAGAGACUGAUGCUUUAAAGAAACAGAAUGCCAUAGACAAUCUAUCUGUCAGAGGGAAUGACAAACAACUCUCAGAUGUCUCUUAUGGACUAGCUUCAAACCUGAAGGAAAAUAGAAGGGGGCGUGGAAGAGGGGAAACCCCCUCGUGGAGGGGACCUAGAGUUCGCGGAUGCCGUGGGAUGACCAGGGAUAGGGGGAGGGGAGAACGUGUUCAUUUUUUCUAUAAUUACAGUAGCGAAAACCAGAAACAAAAACAGUUAAACGAAGCAGCAACAAAUGCCUCUGUUAUUAUUCAGAAUCCCGUGGAAGCUCCGAAAAAGGAUUAUAGCACACUGCCUCUCUUAGCUGCUCCUCCACAAGUAGGCCAAAAAAUUGCCUUUAAGAUAAACAACAUGGAUGUGUCCAUGAAGUCAACGGGAGUUGAGGUUGACUGGAGACUUGCUUUAGAACUUUUUCUGCCAGUAUCUGUAUCAGGUGAAAUUCUCCUCUCUCCCCAUCAAAGAAUUAAUUGGUUCACAGGCUCGUCCCUUCUCUGAAAGAUUUAUAUACCUUUUUCUCCCAUAUGUGUUUUCCUGGGAAGUUUUACUUGCCUUACUACAGUGACAUGUACAUAACAACUCGGAGAGAGCAUCAUUUAUCACUGGCACUAAUUGCCCAGCCUGCUUGGGAUUAUGGAUUCUAUGAUUUUUGGAGUGCUAUAGGUUCUUCUAUCUCUCCUGAAGGGUUAUUAACCUACUGAUUAGCAGAGCUUUUGAGAUGGGGUACACUGUAAAUAAUUAUUAAUAUUAUUGUGCAUUGAAUUUAUCAGAAGUAAUUGGCUCCAGAUUUUUUUAUUUUAUAAGGUUUUUUUUAAUCAAUAAAACUUUUAUUACUGAUUUCUAGUUUCUACGCUAACUUUAGGUGGAUGAUACAAUUUGUGGAGGCUACACAUGUAUCUGGAGCUUAAGAAUUUGGUUUUUCUUUUAACAGCUUUUGGAAUUAACCGAAAAUUAUACACCUGAAGUAUCCGAUUACAAGGAAGGAAACCUUGUCAGCUGGAAUCCUGUUAAUAAGCAGCUAGAACUUGAAAUCCUUUCUUUUUCAUCAGUAGCAAAAGAGCCAGGGAAAUUCGACCUGGUU